rfam:Beta vulgaris subsp. vulgaris contig127048.1, whole genome shotgun sequence.
CAAACGGCCCUUUUCAGGGCCAAAAAUCAAUUCAAAGGAAAUGACU